GCCUUCGUGGCCUAAUGGAUAAGGCAUCGGUCUUCUAAACCCGGGAUUGCGGGUUCGAGCCACGCCGAGGGUA
rnacentral:tRNA from 1 species